UACGUAGGACGCGAGCGUUGUCCGGAUUUAUUGGGCGUAAAGAGCUCGUAGGCGGCUUGUCGCGUCGUUCGUGAAAACUUGGGGCUCAACCCCAAGCUUGCGGUCGAUACGGUCAGGCUAGAGUUCGGUAGGGGAGACUGGAAUUCCUGGUGUAGCGGUGAAAUGCGCAGAUAUCAGGAGGAACACCGGUGGCGAGGGCGGGUCUCUGGGCCGAUACUGACGCUGAGGAGCGAAAGCGUGGGGAGCGAACAGG
rnacentral:rRNA from 1 species